rnacentral:rRNA from 1 species
AUGAACGCUGGCGGCGUGCCUAAUACAUGCAAGUCGAGCGCACAGACGAGGAGCUUGCUCCCCUGACGUUAGCGGCGGACGGGUGAGUAACACGUGGAUAACCUACCUAUAAGACUGGGAUAACUUCGGGAAACCGGAGCUAAUACCGGAUAAUAUAUUGAACCGCAUGGUUCAAUAGUGAAAGACGGUUUUGCUGUCACUUAUAGAUGGAUCCGCGCCGCAUUAGCUAGUUGGUAAGGUAACGGCUUACCAAGGCAACGAUGCGUAGCCGACCUGAGAGGGUGAUCGGCCACACUGGAACUGAGACACGGUCCAGACUCCUACGGGAGGCAGCAGUAGGGAAUCUUCCGCAAUGGGCGAAAGCCUGACGGAGCAACGCCGCGUGAGUGAUGAAGGUCUUCGGAUCGUAAAACUCUGUUAUUAGGGAAGAACAAAUGUGUAAGUAACUAUGCACGUCUUGACGGUACCUAAUCAGAAAGCCACGGCUAACUACGUG